rnacentral:lncRNA from 1 species
CUGAUACUGUUCACUUUUAACGUUAAGGACAUUUUUAUCUUGAAAAGUCACUCCUAGUACUAUUCGCUUACACCUUUAUUUUAUCAUUUUCAUUAAACAUAAAGUUUUUUUAGAACUUUUCAUUAGUUUUCCUAAAAAUUAUAGUAUGAUUUUCAAGUCCGGUUCCCGUGUUUGUAGCAUCACCAAGUAUUUACUCCUCCAUACGUAUGAUAAUGAUACUUUACAUUUAAGGACAGAGAAGGACUCUCUCCUUUGCUCCCAUCUCGUGUCGUGUUGAGAACAAUAAAACGGCUCGUGUUAGAAACACAAGUCGUUAUCCCAACAAGUGAAGUCUUUUCGGAAUUUCCAACCAACGAAAAGAAUGUAGUGUAAAUUAGUAGCACGGGGCAAAAAUUGAGACCAAAAUGCAGACAUUCCCAAGUAAAGAUUCAGCUUUCCACCUGGUUUGGUGAGUUCCAACAUUUUCUAUACAUGACGAAGCAAUUAGUGCGGCUAAAGCAGAGGAACUGGAUCCUCUCCUGAGCUCAGGAUGGCGAUCCUUAUGAGCAGCUUAUCCGAGCUAUUCAAACUUGAUCCAACAGCUGCAAUUAUUAUAACUUUUAAAAGGACCUCAAAUUUGAGAUAUACGAAAUUCAAACUUGAGAUAUAUCCACAACUUCAAACUUGAGAUAUACGAAAUUCAAACUUGAGAUAUACAUCCAAGACUUCAAACUUGAGAUAUACGAAAUUCAAGUCCUAAUAUACAAUCAGCAAGUCAACCCAAAAGUUUUCAUUAACAUUUUGGUCAAACGAAAUUCUAAGUCCUAACAUACAAUCAGCAAGUCAACCCAAAAGUUUUCAUUAACAUUUUGGUCAAACAUUCGGGAGGAAAAUAAGGGAAUCUGCUUUGUCAUCGGAGAUAAAUCCCUAUGUAUCUACAACACUCAUCAAAUAAUCUGUAAGCAUAAGAAGAUAUAUAUUUCUGCCACUACGAAAAAAAUGAGCACUGCACACAAUAAAUUAUAUGUGCCCUUUGAGGCCAAAAAGCCUCAACAUUUGUGCUCAUAAACCAAUAGCAACAGUGCAUCAACUAAGUUUAUAUAUGUGCCCUCUAUGGGCGUCACCGUCGCUAAAAGGGCACAAUAGACUGUUUGGUGCUCAAAGAGGCAGGCACAAAUAAAGGCCUUUUUGUGUCUAUGUUAUGACAAACUUGUCAGAUGACCUUCUCCAUCCAUGUUUGCACUAUUUUUGUUAUUGUGCCCAGUAGGUUCUAUUUAAAAAAAAAUAGAAAUGUAAAAUUUUGAAAUAAAACCAAAAAUUUAAAAUUUUCAUAAAAUCCAAGAUGACAGUCUCGGUUGUAAAAAGCAAUCCAAUAGUUAAAAUGGAAUGUCUAUAAUGAAACUACAGAAAUUUUCCUCAUAAAGAACAUGUUUACAAGUGUUCAAGAUAAAAGACCAACAAAAUAAUGAGACUCUCCUAUCAAUGUAUCCAUGCAUUCCUACAUAUAGCCACCCAUAACUGAUUUUACCCUUUUUCCCAGCUCGGUGGAUUAUGCAAUCACCUUCCUGAAAUCCAAACCAAAGGAAAAAUGAAAAAGGGAAAGGAUCACAUAUUUCCAAUGAUAUUUCCAGUGAUUUUUAACUACCCAAACAUCCAAUCAACAUUGAGAAUUCAUUAGCUUUACACAUAUUUGAUAACAAUAAGAGUUUCAUUUUCUCCGACAAAAAAGAGAACAUUUUACGAUUGGUAAAACUAAAUGUCCAAUGUACCUUAACAAGACAAGGAAGCAAAUCCAUAUCAACACUGUGAACCAUAAUUGUAGAAGGAAGUUCAUCCUCUUCCUGGAAAAGAAAGAAAUUUAGUAAAUAUAAGUUUCAUAAAAAAUAAAAAAAUAGUUAUUUUAUAUAUAAUAAGAGCAAAACUUUAAUAGGACCUCUAAUAAAGUUGUAUAUAUUUCAAGCAAAUAAAAACCAAACUUAUUAAUGUAUGGUACAUUAACCACUUACAAAGAUGAGAAAUAGCACGAAGGUAAAGUACACCUUUACAACACAAUAUAUUCCCAUCAAUCCUGUAAAAAUAUGUAUAAUCCAAAAUAAAACAUUAUAUACAAAUAACAAGUCAUAAAAAAAUAAUAAAUUGAAAAAACUUCUAUAAUAAUAGAAGCAAAAUUUUCAUCAAAUGGAUGAAGGCAAGGGCCAUGUCUUUCUGAUCCAACGGACAAAGUCGAGCAAACUAGAAAACAAGAAGAAAAAAGUGUGAUGUUUAGGGGAACAAACAUUGAUAUUUGAAUCUAAAAAUGCCUCUACUAAACUGCGAUUUACCACUUCUAAAUCUACUACAAAUUUGUACUCCUAAAUCACAAUCAAUUAGUAAGGCACACGAAAAUUCAGGGCAUACAGAUAAUCAAGUUUGGGAGGAAUCACGUGAGUCACAAAAUUGAAAUAGACUGAGGUUUUUUUAAUUAUUCAGUGCAGGGAGCCGGUUUUAUACCUUCACAACCUCGUGUUCAACAUACAUAGUCAAAAUCUUUCAUAAGAACGCUAAAUCAAGAAACGGGUAGGAGUUUUACUUUAGUCACUUUAUAGCUCAAAUAGAAUCCUAAUGGUGAUGGUGUAGAUUAUUAUAGUCACCUGAAAGUCAACUAAAGCCUAAAGAUUCCCGUACACAUAUACAGCUCAUAACUAUCUUCAGAUUGUGUGUGCAUGUCAAAUCAAGAAACGGGGAGAGUUGCAACAUUAUUCAAUAGUUCAAGCAGUUUGUCAACAAACUAACCUUUUAUUACUAACAUUGUACCCAUCACCUUGUAUCUUUUAUGAGCAUCUGCAAUGACAAACAAGAAGAAGCAAUAAAAGGAAUUAACUUUUCGAAAUCUUAUCUAUAAUUCCAAGCAAUAAUCACAAAUAAUUUUCAUUAAAUUCUAGAAAUGAAUUGUAUAGUGGUACAACUAACAACUACUAUCUUUUGACAUGUCACAACAGGCCACAUUGCAAUCAAAAUUUAGGUCCAGUGACAUCAAUGGCACUCUAGAUUAGAAUUUCAUUAACCUUCAAUGUUUAUCGUGUUUGAACUCCAAUCCAAAUCAAUUGUGACUAUGUGUUCGAUAUAUGCAAAUGGAUUUGAGUAUCUAAAAGGGAUUAAAGGCAACUGCAGAAGAAGAUGGGAUGGUGCUUAGACAACUACACAUGCUUAGAAACAGAGAGUUAUUCUUCCUACUAUCAAGUCAACAAAAUUUGAAACAUCAAUUUGUUGCUUUCCUAAUUUUAUUAUGCCAAUGCAAAAUGCAAUGCCAAUUAAUAUGCAGUAAGCUGUGUUUAAGGUUCAAUAGUUCUUUACCGAAGAAAAAUGCGAAACUCGCCAGGGCCUAGCUCUUCCCAUAAUCAAAGCAAAGAUUAAGAAAUAAUUAGAUGAAAUUAAAACCCAUAACCUUAUGUAUUCCACACACAAAAGUAAUAGAAGAAAAAAACACAGCAGACAUGCAGAGCUAUAAACAAUCAACCUAAACAAAAUUAAGAACCAAAAAGAUGAGUGAAUUGUUUCCGCACCUCAGAAUCGCUUUGACUUUGUAAAAUUUGGAGUCUGGGACAUAACCUACGAGCAACCAACAAUGUGGAGUUAGAAGCCAUGCCAAAAUUUAAAAUUUAAAAACCAAGACACUCAAAUCAUAAUUUGAAUGGAAUAUGCAAUAACAUUGAAAACCCAUGAACUAUUUUUCCAGACAAUGGGAAGAAGACAAACCAGAAGAACUCUGCGCUCGUACGACCGGAACAAUGGACACAUUUAUUGCAUGCUUUAGAGCGAUAUUAGGCUGACAGAACCGAAAUUUUACGAGCUUGGUGCGAAUCGAGGUCGAACCCAAAAGCGGAAGCUUGUUGAGGUGGUAAUGAAGGUGCGGUUGACUCUGAAUUCGAAGGCUUCCACGACGGCGACGAAAUAUUGAUGAGGACCACGACUCCUCACUCCCUCUCCGACUCGCACCUGCCCUUCCCUCACCAACACCUCUUAACCCAACGAACCUCCCUUCCAUGAUCCCUCUCUAUCGAACUUGGAUCCCAACGUGAUUCCCGAUUCAAGCUCUACAUCCAUUAAUCUUCCCAAACCCGACCCACCCCGUCCCUUGAUCUCUCCCUACCAAACCCUAAUCUUCCCAAACCUUCCUCCAUUGCAGGGGUUUCUGCUAAGGGAUUCUAGCGAUGAUGGAGCUCAAGAGCCUCCACGAUUUGUCUAGAGAAGGUAGAGAGAGAAAGAGGGGUUGGAAAGAGAGAGAGAGAAACAGACAAAGGUGAGAGAAAGAAUCUAAAUGAGGCAGAGCGGGAGAGGAAAGAAAAAGGAAAGAGAUAGACGGGACCCGAGACAGAAUUAGGGUAGAAUUUUAAUUAUUAUUAUUAUAAGAGUUAGUGGGCACAAUUGUGUAAUGCGGUGGUGGAAACUCAAGUUUUUGAAUUUGGGGGUGGGAAAUCCAAACUUGCACCAUAAAAUAGAGGGAGAAGUCUAAUUUGGAGAAGGGGAAACUUAAUAUAAAUCCAAUUUUAUAAGCUUGUCACUCCUCGAUCCCAACAUAUGUCUCAAAUCGACACGUGACGUCAUCAAAUAUUCGUACGUCUAUCAUACCCCGUCUCCGGGAUAUGGCAAAGCACAACUCGAGCAUCGAUUCGCAUAGUUUUUUUUUUCUUCCCGAUUUCUAAUUGGUUGCUUAACCCCACCCCCCCCCCCAAUUUAUGAUUGGUCCUCCACCAUUUAACUUAUUGGUUCCUUCCCUUUGGCCUGAAUGGCCUCUUCCCACAAGGUAUAUUCCUUUAAAUUUAUAGUUUAGUGAAACGACUUCAAAUGUCCGUAACUAUACCGUUAUAAUCCAGACUCGCGUUUGUGGUCUUGAGAUCUAUUUGAAAACAUCAAUUGUGAACUCGAAAGGUCAACGAAUUUUAAAGAUUGAUUACGAAAAUUCAAACCGAUAGUUAUUCGAUUGAAUUCCAAAAAUCAACGGAAUUAAAAUUAACUAAUGAAAAUAACGUAAACAUGAAAUACAAAUUUAAAUAAUGAGAUAUGUAAUUAAUAGUGAAAUUUCGGGGACAGGAUUUCACAAAGCCAUUAUUAGUUAUAGUCCAAUUUUGUUUUAAUUUUGAAGUUCUAUCGAAGGUUAAUUGUGUUUAGCAUGAUAAAAGGCUUGUGUGUUAGGCUUGCGUUGUUCUUUUCUUUUUUUUUUCUUUUUUCUUUUCUUUUUUCUUUUCUGUAUGAACCAUAUGGGAAACAUAAUUAUAAACCAAAAAACAUACAAUGUUGGGAGUAUCUAUAUCAUGGGCCAAUUAGAAAGAAAACAUUAUUAUAUUGUAAUACUACAUAAGUUAACAAAAGGACCCAAGAGGUGUCCAGCAUAGCAUAAGAUAAUUAUAUUUUCACACACCAGUGAAAUAUAACGUAAUACAAAAUAUAUUAAUUGUCCUCGUCAUCCCUACUUAAAAUCUUAACGGUAACAUUCUGCAUAUUUCGUGAGCUCAUCUGUGGGAGAGACAGGCCUCUAGGAUGAAUUUGUGCUUGAUAAGUGCAUGGUUCUUCAAUAAUAACGACAUAACUAAUAGACUCUUCAGUUGUUGUUUCAACAGAAACCAAAUUGACAGGGUAUUGUUCUGUCCUACCUGGGUUUGCCCAUGUUGGCAAUACACGUCCUUGAGGUGCGCAUACGCAUCUGUUAUUGGAGGGUAAUGGGUAGCCAAGGUGACCAUCAGCAACAGUAGUAAGAAUGUAUUGAUUAUCAAUAGCACGAGGUAUGCGCCCGACAUUACCAGGUUGUCGUGGACGUUGAGCUGGAGGUUUGUUAUGGAAUUUGCUGUUGUAAUGUUGGAAGCAAUAGAAGAAUGUGAUGCUAAAGAUUCGGUUCCAAUUCUAACUCCAUGUCCGCCAUUCUCAAUGAUGUAGAACUUGAUCAAAUUCAAAAGAAACACAAGUGUAUAAAGCAACCUUCUAAAUUUCCAUAUACAAAUUAGUAAGGGAGUGUAGACGUUUUAUACUAGAAUAAAGGCACAAAUCCAUAAUUGUGCCAACAUAUUCUUUUGCUAUAGAGUGAUUUAUUAUUUAUUAAUAUUUACUAGACACAAUUUCUAACAUUUGUGUAAGAAAAAGGAAUUUAUAAUUAUUAAGAUAUAUUCUCUAUUUGAAGACCCAAUGAGAAGUAGAGUGAUUUAUUAUUUAUUAAUAUUUAGUGGACAGAAUUUCUAUCAUUAGUGUCAUAAAAAGGAAUCUACAAUUAUUAACUCAUUUGUCUAUCUGAAGACCAACUCACUUUUGCACAUAGACUGACCCUAAGGGCACAAUUGUUGGUUAUGUGUCACUGCAGGUAGGACUUUUAAUACAGUAAAAAAAUAAACACUUACUAUAAAACCAAAAACCAUAUCACCAAGUAUAAAAAACAAACCUGCAUGAAGAUAACAAUCUAAAAAGCAGUUCAAAAAGAUACGAAUCUAACAAACAUUCAUUGCACCUGGAAAUGAUCCUUUGAAAAUGUAAAACAUGCCACUUAGUACUACGGUGUAGUGGUAUUCUUCUUUACUUAUAAGUGAGAGAUCUGAGGUUCGGCUUUCGCAAAAAAACGAAUUUAAACAACAUUAUUGCUAACUUAUUUUGAGGCUAAAAUAUUGCACAAUAAUAAACAGCUCCAUACCAUUAUUUACCACACUUUUAUAAAUUCUAAUUAUUGGUGUGCUAGAGGAGGUAAAGACAAACGAGAGAGAACAUAGAGUGCCUCUAACAAUAAUUUUUAUAGACACAAAAUGUUUUUUGUGCCCAUUUUCAGUAAAAAAGUUGUCAUUUGACCCCACUCAGCACGAUUUCCGUGCCCAUUACUGUUUUGUGUCUGCUUUUUUUUAACAUUGGGCACAAUAGAUGGUGCCUUCUAUGGAAUUGGAACUGUUUAAGCUUUUUGGUGGUCAAAUUGACACAAAAUUCUCAAUUGUGCGCUUUGUUUUGCACCCAAAGCUCAUUUUUCUUGUAGUGUGCAACACUAUCUUGGUUGUAGGUCUCGAAGUGAAGGUAUUGCGAAGUCCAUAGUAAGUGCAAAGAAACAUAUAUUGUGGGUUUGGUUUUGAUUUCUUUGUGACCCAAAAUGCAUGCCAAUUAAAUAGAGAACUUUCUUUGCAAGACUCGUGCUAAUACAUGUAAGAAGAGAUGCCAACCUAAGAAAUUUGAAAGUUUUACUUUGAAUUCUACUAUCAUAGACGAAAAAACUCGUUUCUUCUGUUCUCACCAUUCAAUUUUUAAUGUUUUCCACAAAAGAAAAAGGUUGAAAGUCAUGCAGAUUGGUGCAUAUAAAUACACACGUGUCUAACCUCCGCAUAAUACAUCCUUCAUAAUUAAGCUAGCUAUCUUUGUUUAAUAUCCUUAAGUACAAGAUUAAUAGAUCACCAUGAGGUUUCUUAAUUGUUUAUUCGCAGUUAUAACAGUUGUAUUUCUCAUGAGUAUGGACCUGCAUGUGGUUAGUGCAGGCAGGAUGUUGCAUGAUGAGAAAGAAAACUUGAAGACGAUAACAACGGUGAACAAAAACAUCGUGUUGAUGGAUUCGAAGCAGAGGGGCGAUCCUCCUCCCCCUGGAUCUAAUCCGACGACCCCUAGGUCUGCUGAUCUUGCCGAUACAACCAUCAACCAAAGGAACAUUGCAGGCCACACUACUCCUACUCCGCCUCCUCCACACCAUGCAUACCCUAAUAAUGCCGUGGCUAGAUCACUACUCGGCGUGGCUACAGAUCGUUAAUCAUUUAUUUGAAUGAUUAACAAUAACUACAGAAAUUCCAACCUAAUAAGAUACAUCAAAUUAUGUGAUAUAAUAUAGUGUUUAUUGUGCAGAAUAAGUAAACGGGAAAAAACCUAUAUAAUGUGAUAUAAUAUAGUUUUUACUGUGCAGAAUAAGUAGAGGGGAAAAACCCUAGUUGCCUUUGUAUUGCUUGCAGCACACUCUACUUGAAUAAAAAAUAGACGAAUUCUCUUACAAAUAUCUUAUUUUCUUCUUUAUGCAGUAUGAGAGUUGAGACGAAUAGAAUGUAAUAAGACGUUUUAUUCAACCACCAUGAGAUGAUUCAAAGAACAAUUUAAAAUGUUAUCUUUGAAAGUCAAACAUAAGCAUUAUAGUAACAAAAACGUCAUCAAAAGAUGCGCUGCCUGAACACUAUUAUGGGUAGACCUAGCAUUUUGGACCCAACCCGUUAACCCAACCGACCCAAUCCAUUAAUAUUAGUAUUUGGAUGGAUGCUUAAAGGGUCGGGUCACUAAUGGGUGAACCAGUUAACAACCCGUUAAAUAACGGAUGACUUUAGGUCAACUCGUUCGAUCCGUUAGCACCCUUUAUAAAUUAUAACCACACCUUAUCUUUUUCCUAUUUUCCUAUCUUUUUUUUUAUCAUCGAUAAAGAAUCUAUUGCUUCAUUGAUUCAUUCAUUUGAUUAGUUCAUGGCAAUAUCUCUGCAAGCAUAUCGCCCAAGCUCUCCGACCCAACCCUCCUCUGUUCCCUCCACCAUCUCUCCCAAGAAAUCUCCUCCCUCGAGCCGCUCCCGUUCCUCCUGCGCCGCACCUCCCGCUCCGUGAUUCGCAGGUCAACCCUACUCUCCAUCCUCUUCGAAGACAUCAUCCGCAGCUCCACCGCCGCCUUCUCCCACUCCGCCGUCCUCUGCUUUCAGGAGCUCUACAUCCUGCUCCAGAGGAUUCAGACCCUUCUUGAAGACUCCUCCAACGGCAACCGGAUGUGGCUUUUCCUCCAGAUUGAGUCUCUUGCGAACAGCUUCGACGAGCUCACCAUCAACCUCUCCACCUUAAGGAAGAGUUCCAGAACCAAAUGGAGGAGAAAUCCAAGUCGCAGCUCCUUGUCUGUUUACUAUAUAUCCAAGUUAAUACCUUUUUUACUGUCAACACCCUUUUGUACAUCCUUGCAGUUAAUAUGUGUAAUUGUAUUGGAAUGCAAAAAAAAAAAAAUUGUUAACGGGUGACCUACUAGAUUAACGGGUCGAGUUCAAGUGACCUGAUAGCUUAACGGGUAGGAUUAAACCUAACUCAAACCCGAUAAACCCAACCCGUUUAUAGGUCUAAUCAUGGGGCAAAACAAAGAAAUAUACCCACACAAAAAAACACAUACAAGCGUUUACAACCAUAUCUCCUAAUAUUGAAAUCUUCUAAUCAGUCGUGGAAAUGUCAAGUUAUACUGGUACACUAAUGCAGUGUGCCUCGUUAAAUAACCAUCGCAUCAAAAAACAUGUAACACUUUGCCCACCUCUCAUCUGCAUCCUACACUGAAAUCCGAUGGAGUCCAUCACAAUCAUUUAACCUCCCCGCGUCCGCCAUAGGCAAAUAACAAGAUUCUCAAUACUCUUUUAAAAGUUUGUUGUGAUAAGGAAACUUUGUGCAAAUGUAGAAUGCAGUAACAACAUUCCGGUGAUUGAUCUAGGUGGAGCCGAAUGCGGUGGUCAUACCUGUAUAACUGAGCAGAUACUCAAAGCUAGUCAAGAAUUCGGUAUAUUUUUUUUUCUUUUUCAGGUAACUUAUCGACUAUCGAGACUUCAAAUUCUUUCCUUCAUUUUUUUUUAAUGUCUCAAGAAAGUUGAGGUUCCUCAAUAAAUCAAUUGGUAAUAUAGAGAGUAACCCACCUCUUAUAAGCUCAUGCAAGGUCUCUCCUCCUAUCAAUGUGAAAUUCUUUCUCAACAUGCCCCCUUACGUGCGGUGACUUUCAAGCCAAACAUGUGGACACCACAAACGGGGUUACGUGGAGCAUGUAUGGCCGUUAGACUUCACAUGUGAGACAACCUGCUCUUAUACCGUGAAGAAAGUUGGAGUUCCACCAUAAAACCAAUUGGCAAUAUGAGAAGUACUCCAACCUCUUAUUUGCCUAUUCAAGUGUCUUUCCCCCAUCAAUAAGAAAUUCUUUCUCAACAAUGUCGAGCAUCGCCUUGCCGGCCUUGGAUCACAAUCAAGGUAUUGUUUAUUUCUUCUAUUUAAUUACAAGAUUGUAUGCAUUAUGUGAGCCUUUAUUAAGCCAAUUGAUACACAUAAAGAAUUAUCUUUAUUCCAGAUUGAUAUAAAAAAUUUGGAAUAUAUGGAUGGUUGACUUUAAAUCAUAGGCAAGUUCGAAAGCAAUUUCUCAGCUUUAUAUGUGCACUAGUUUUGACAUGCCCUGAUCCCGAUGUCCCACAUACAUUGGGA